GAAUACCAGUGGCGAAGGCGGCCUCCUGGCUCGAUACUGACGCUGAGGUGCGAAAGCGUGGGGAUCAAACAGGAUUAGAUACCCUGGUAGUCCACGCCGUAAACGAUGUCUACUAGCCGUUGGGAGACUUGAUUUCUUAGUGGCGUAGCUAACGCACUAAGUAGACCGCCUGGGGAGUACGGCCGCAAGGUUAAAACUCAAAUGAAUUGACGGGGGCCCGCACAAGCGGUGGAGCAUGUGGUUUAAUUCGAUGCAACGCGAAGAACCUUACCAGGUCUUGACAUCCUGCGAACUUUCUAGAGAUAGAUUGGUGCCUUCGGGAACGCAGUGACAGGUGCUGCAUGGCUGUCGUCAGCUCGUGUCGUGAGAUGUUGGGUUAAGUCCCGUAACGAGCGCAACCCUUGUCCUUAGUUGCCAGCACAUAAUGGUGGGAACUCUAAGGAGACUGCCGGUGACAAACCGGAGGAAGGUGGGGACGACGUCAAGUCAUCAUGGCCCUUACGACCUGGGCUACACACGUGCUACAAUGGAACGCACAGAGGGCUGCAAAGGCGCGAGCUGGAGCGAAUCCCACAAAACGUUUCGUAGUCCGGAUUGGAGUCUGCAACUCGACUCCAUGAAGUCGGAAUCGCUAGUAAUCGUGAAUCAGAAUGUCACGGUGAAUACGUUCCCGGGCCUUGUACACACCGCCCGUCACACCAUGGGAGUGGGUUGCUCCAGAAGUGGUUAGCCUAACCUUCGGGAGGGCGAUCACCACGGAGUGAUUCAUGACUGGGGUGAAGUCGUAACAAGGUAACC
rnacentral:rRNA from 1 species